rnacentral:rRNA from 1 species
UGAGGUUAAGUUAACAAGGGCGCAUGGUGAAUGCCUUGGCACUAGGAGCCGAUGAAGGACGGGACUAACACCGAUAUGCUUCGGGGAGCUGUACGUAAGCUAUGAUCCGGAGAUUUCCGAAUGGGGCAACCCAGCAGUUUUAAUCAACUGUUACCACUAGAUGAAUUCAUAGUCUAGUUGGAGGUAAACGCUGUGAACUGAAACAUCUCAUUAGCAGCAGGAAUAUAAAGAAAUUUCGAUUCCCUAAGUAGCGGCGAGCGAACGGGGAACAGCCCAAACCAAAGUGCUUGCACUUUGGGGUUGUAGGACUGAACAUUUGAGUUACCAAAGAACUUGAUAGUCGAAGGAUUUGGGAAAAUCCGCCAUAGAUGGUGAUAGCCCAGUAGAUUAAAUCAAAUUCUCUCAGUUCAGGAUCCUGAGUACGGCGGAACACGCGAAAUUCCGUCGGAAUCCGGGAGGACCAUCUCCCAAGGCUAAAUACUACCUAGUGACCGAUAGUGAACCAGUACCGUGAGGGAAAGGUGAAAAGCACCCCGGGAGGGGAGUGAAAUAGUUCCUGAAACCAUGUGCCUACAAU